rnacentral:rRNA from 1 species
ACCGGCGGCUCGAGUGGUGGCCACUAUUACUGGGCUUAAAGCGUUCGUAGCUGGCUUGUUAAGUCUCUGGGGAAAUCUUACGGCUCAACUGGAAGGCGUCUCAGGGAUACUGGCAGGCUAGGGACCGGAAGAGGUGAGAGGUACUCCAGGGGUAGGAGUGAAAUCCUGUAAUCCUUGGAGGACCACCUGUGGCGAAGGCGCCUCACCAGUACGGAUCUGACAGUGAGGAACGAAAGCUAGGGGCGCAAACCG